AAGCCCUUAUUAUAUGAAAUGUUAAAGGUACUUAUUAAGAAAAAGGAGCUGGUCCUUUGGGGCCUGGUGCUCAAAAGUGAUGAAUUGAUCAGAUAGACAAGGCUGGGCUUGUCCCAGGCUGCUGAUUAUCGAGGCAAUUCUGAUCUG